GAUGAAGAACGUAGCGAAAUGCGAUAAGUAAUGUGAAUUGCAGAAUUCAGUGAAUCAUCGAAUCUUUGAACGCACAUUGCGCCCCCUGGUAUUCCGGGGGGCAUGCCUGUUCGAGCGUCAUUUCACCACUCAAGCCUCGCUUGGUAUUGGGCAACGCGGUCCGCCGCGUGCCUCAAAUCGUCCGGCUGGGUCUUCUGUCCCCUAACGUUGUGGAAACUAUUCGCUAAAGGGUGUUCGGGAGGCUACGCCGUAAAACAACCCCAUUUCUUAGGUUGACCUCGGAUCAGGUAGGGAUACCCGCUGAACUUAAGCAUAUCAAUAAGCGGAGGA
rnacentral:misc_RNA from 1 species